rnacentral:rRNA from 1 species
AUUGAACGCUGGCGGCAUGCCUUACACAUGCAAGUCGAACGGCAGCACGGGAGCAAUCCUGGUGGCGAGUGGCGAACGGGUGAGUAAUAUAUCGGAACGUGCCCAGUCGUGGGGGAUAACGCAGCGAAAGCUGUGCUAAUACCGCAUACGAUCUAUGGAUGAAAGCGGGGGAUCGCAAGACCUCGCGCGAUUGGAGCGGCCGAUAUCAGAUUAGCUAGUUGGUGAGGUAAAGGCUCACCAAGGCGACGACCUGUAGCUGGUCUGAGAGGACGACCAGCCACACUGGAACUGAGACACGGUCCAGACUCCUACGGGAGGCAGCAGUGGGGAAUUUUGGACAAUGGGCGCAAGCCUGAUCCAGCAAUGCCGCGUGCAGGAUGAAGGCCUUCGGGUUGUAAACUGCUUUUGUACGGAACGAAACGGUGAGCUCUAAUACAGUUUGCUAAUGACGGUACCGUAAGAAUAAGCACCGGCUAACUACGUGCCAGCCGCCGCUGUAACAC